rnacentral:lncRNA from 1 species
AUAAUUAAAUAAAUAAAUAAAAUUCUUUGUAGUUUCUUAUUAACUUGUUUUCGUUGUUUGUCAUAGUUAUUUAGAGUUUAAGCAGCCGACAGUGGUACAUGGAAGGAUGUGUGGGCUCCAUGGACAUGUUGACUCUAGAUUUUAAAAUAAUCAAAGGAAAAGAUAGCUCAUGUGGUGCUUAUUAAUUUCAGAGUAAAAUAAAAACAACAUGUGUAAUCUCAUCCAUGUUUACCAAGAAGAUAUUAGUCUAAUGAUUCAUGUAAUCUACUCAUUUGAUAUACAUUUUGAGACAAUUUUGGUAGGAUGACUUUCCUUAACUAAAUUAGUAAUUCAUUUUGGGACCUUAGUUUUAUCUCUCAUGGGGAGAGGUGAAAACUAUUUGUGAUUUGGUGUCUUGGGGAUCAUAAUUGUUCCUUAUGUGUUAACUUAUGAGGUUUCCAUUAUACCCUAUUGGCCAACUGUUUAAGUAUCCACCCAUUAAGCUCAUAUUCGUUAUCAAUUUCAGAAGUCUUUUUUGGUUUUCAUCAAUUAGAUCACUUAUUUUUGUAACCCUGAAAUAAAUAACCAAUAUAAUUAUAUUAAAUAUAUGAUAUUCACCUUAAUUAUAAUUUGAUAGGAUAUUCUUAGCUAUUGGGGGAAAAAACUUAGGUCACUUCCUUCAUUUUGAUCCCAAAAUAUUUUCUAUCCCGUCACUUUACUAUUUUAUGCAAUUACCAAAGCAACUACAUUCCUAAACGAGUGUGGCCAUUCGUGCAAUCAUAUUUAUAGAUAGGUAAACACGUACACAAAGUAUUUGUUAAUAUGUAAUUUAAUUAAUAUUUUGGCUUAUAUCCCUUGUUUCUCUUUUGUUGAUUGAGUGUAAUACAUUUACACACCUAAUAUAAAUAUUUAUAUACAAUUAUUAUAUUAUUCUUUAUAUUUUAAUUUACUUUUUUUGAAGAAUCAAUAAUAAUUAGAUAUGAAUGAUACAAUAAUAAUAGAUAAAAUUCAUAUAUUGUUAUUUCAUACAUGUUUUUCUCUAGUUCAUUAUUCAAUGAAACAUCUUGUUAAUAAAUGUUUGUUACAUCUUGUUAAUAAAUGUUUUUUUUUUCAUUAUACACGGAAGAAAACCCUCAGCAAGGAAUUGAACAUAGUUGAUUAUUCAAGGAAAUAGUUUUACACAUUUUUUUACGUAGCUUCCAUAAUAUCAUUUAAUAGUAAAAAAAAAUCUAUAUUGAAAAUUUUCGAAGUGAAAUCAAUAAAUUUUGCAAGUUUCUGGUGCUUGGUGUUCAUAGGGUUGAAGGGAGUUUUAGAAAGAAGAAGAUGAGGUGAAAUGAGAAUAAGAGAAAUAGACGAAAAUGGAGGUGCAUUUUUUAUAUUUAUUUGUAGUAUAAUUCAUGAAUGUGUAGUUUUGUCGGUAAGAACAUGUUAAAGGUAUAUUAAGUAUUUUAAUUAUCUGUUUUUUUUGGUAUACUAAAGUUUUAUCCUCUCAUAGUUGGGCAUGAACUAUUUUUAGUCGUAAAAAUUACCAAAUUGAAUUUGUCCUUUUUAAUAAAUUGUUUUUUAUACGCACAACAAGAAAUGAAUAUCUCAUAUCAUAUUUAAGCAUUCAAUUAUCUUCCAACAAUAUGAACUUUAUUGGUAUUUAUUUAAAUUAUGUAUAUUUUUAUUAUGUGCUAUGAGCAUAUAUUUAGAUUUUAAAAUAAGUUCUAAUUGUAAAAUAAUGUAUUUACUAUAUAAAAGGUGAUACAUCUAUAUUUUAAUGAUUCUUUAAUCUUUAAUACAUUUCUACAAGUAGUUAAGCACAAAAUGAAUAAAAUUCGAUUGAAAAGUUAUUUUAUUAUUACUAGCGUGUUGACAUGCACUAUCGUGCCUGUCAACCCGCUUUCCUAUCGUUUGUAAUGUGUAGUUUGUAUUUUAUAAAUUCAAAUAUAAUUUUUUACGCUAAAUUUACGGUUGAAUUUAUUCAAUUGGUCUAAUAUUCAAUUUUUUAAAUACACUUUUAAAAUAAGAAGAUAAUAAUGAUAAAAUAAGAAAAUAAUAUUAUAUGGUUUUUUGGUAUAAAUAAAAAGAUAUUGAGGGUAAAAUAGGAAAACAUAAAUUACACCAUGAUGGGUGGUUAUUUUAUGUUUUCCCUUUAUUAAUAGUAUAGAUAAAAUAUAUGUACUUACCUUUUGGUAGAUGAUUAAGAAAUAACAUUUUCAGUCUCACUCGCAUGAGACUAUAAAAUAUGGCUUAAGAAGUGAAGUUUUGAGUUAUAUUUUAUUUAUUAAUCAAAGAUAUUAUUCACCUUAUAAAUAAGAGUUGAUAAUUUUUAAAAUUCUUGAUUUCUCAACAAACAAAUGUUAUUUUCAUGAUAUUAAACUCUACUUUAUUUUAAGAUAUUAAAUUAUCUAUUAGAAAUUAAAAGAGAAAAAAUGAAUGCAUUGUAGUGUAUAAGUUUUAUACUUAUUAUUACUAGCGUGUUGACAUGCACUGUCGUGCUUGUCAACCCGUUUUCCUAUCGUUUGUAAUGUAUAGUUUGUAUUUUAUAAAUUCAAAUAUAUUUUUUUGCGCUAAAUUUACGAUUCAAUUGGUCUAAUAUUCAAUUUUUUAAAUACACUUUUAAAAUAAGAAGAUAAUAAGGAUAAAAUAAGAAAAUAAUAUUAUAUGGUUUUUUGGUAAAAAUAAAAAGAUAUUGAGGGCAAAAUAGGAAAACACAAAUUACACCAUGAUGGGUGGUUAUUUUGUGUUUUCCCUUUAUUAAUAGUAUAGAUAUAAAUAUUGUCAAUCAUUUAUAUUUAAUUAGUAUUGACUCUAUAAGUAAUAUAAAUGAAUUAUAUAUGAUAUAUUAAUUAUGUAAAUAUUUUUACACUAGACAUAUACAAAUAUUAUACUCAAAUUAAAAUUAUAUAUAAAUCUUUAAAAAUGGUAUACUGCUAGCCCCGAAUUACCCAAUCAUAUCAUAUUACGUGUCCAUCUCUACCCGCAAAUCUUACUUUAAACGUCUAAUAACUUUAUAAAGGUUGUGUUAGGGAUGACAAUAAUAUUCGUGGUGGUUACCCAUUAAAAUAUAUAUAAUGGGUAUACAUAAAUAGCUUAUGGAUAGGAGUGGAUAUCAUAAUAUUCGCCCUGCAGUGCCCACAUAUUUAUAAAUUUAUUUUUUAAUUAAAUAAUUUAUAUAUAUUACAUUUUUAUUAUUAUUAUUUUAUAAUUUAUAUUAUCUAUUGUCAUCCCUAGGUUGUGUUACGUUUGGAUUUUCUCAUUAUAAAACAUUUUUCAAAUGGAUUAAAUACACAAUACCAUUUUCAGUGUAUUUUUAUUAAUCUACUAACCUUGUAUGAUAUCUUCCAAUGAAAAUAAAUCUGCAAAUUAAUUUUGCAAUACAAAAUGUUUUAUAAUACCUUGAAACUUUUUGGUAAACUUAUUAUACAUUUAUGCUUUUGUAUUGAACAUCAUAAAAGCAUAUAUCAAUACGAUCUAUAAAUGAAGGUUUCCCUUCUGUUGUUGGGAUUUAUAGAGAAUAUGAUUAAAAAAACCAUAUAAAAAAACACAUCAUUCUUAAUGAAAUUUUUUCACUUUUUUUUGCAUUUUUAAUUAUUACGAGAUAGCAAGAUCUUAACUUUAAAAUGUAUAAAUAUCUUUAGAUAAAUAAAACUUGUUAAUUAUAUACAAAUAGAGUGAAACAGGAAAUUAGUAAAGCAACUUUACAAUUAGUUAAUUAUCUACUGACAUUUAAAGUUUGAAAAAGACUUUGGCAAGGUAAUUGAAUAAAGGAAUAAUUUAAGUGCCAUCAACAUGUUAAGAACAAUGCCUUAUCAUCCACAAAUUUCUCCCACGUCCAUUUUUCCUUUAAUUGAUGGUAAUUUUGGCAACACAAGAUUGGAGUAAUUUCAUUUUCAUUCUAGAUAUGAAUCCUAUCAUUUGCAUUUCAUAGGAUUGAAAGACAAUAUGUUUUGGGUAUAGAUGAAAUGCGUGCUCAAUGCAACAAACUAGGGGACAAAUAAUCAACUUGUGCAUUUAAUCCUCAUUAAGAAGAUAUUGAUAAGAGCUUUAAAUAUUAGUCCUCUCUAGGUGGUUUAAGUAUAAAGUACUUCAUCAUAAUUUAUCAUAAAUUUGAGUAGUUAUUAGGUAUUAAAUAUCAACCCACAACCUCCCAUAAUUUCUAUGUUAAGAGAGCUACCUUGUGUUAAUUAGGAUGGCAUUGCAGUUUUUGUCAUUAAAUAUCGACAUGUAGUUUUAUUUUUCUGAUAUAAAGUUUGUACAUAAAUUUCAAUAAAUUUUUCAAUUUGUACCUAUAAAUUUCUCAAAAUUUCUAUAAAGAAGUACAUUACUUUACUUCAAAGUUUUUAACUUCGCCGCAAUAUUUUUUUUUUCCAUUUUGCAUAGUGAAAAUUCAAUUAGUUGUUAAUAUAGUGAAAUUAUACGGUUAAGGAAAUGUAUCAAAUUCAAUAAAAUUUUGUUCAUUUUUAUGUUUUAUGAUUUAUGUAACAUGUAUGUUACAAAAUUAUUUGUAACUUAUGUUACAAAAUUAAUUACAAAAUUAUUAGCGAUUUGUAUGUUACAAUGACAAACAUAACAACAUUGAAUAUAGUAAAAGGUAAAAUUAGAAUAUAGAAAUUAUACUUGUACAAUUAUAUUUGUACCUUAAUUAUGUUUUGACUUUAUAUAUAUUAGUAUAAAGUAUAAAUAAUAUUAUUCAAUAAAGCUUCCUAAUGCAUCAGUUCAAUUUUUUUAUGCUGGAAUAAAACAAUUUAUUAGUAAUUAUGUUUUUAAAUAAAAAAGAAAUUAAUUGUAGUUAUAGAUACAAAAGCUUCAAAAAAAGUCUUAUAAAAAGGACAAGAUAAAGUAUAUAACAUAAUAAUAAAUAACUUUACCUAAAUAUUUUUAUAAAAUAUAUUAUAUAUAACUAACUUGAUAAAUAUAUAUUGUACAGGAGAGUAAAAUUAAACUACAAUUAUUAGGAGUAACUCAAAUAAUCCUUAAAGUUAUUUUCAUUAGUCCAUAGUCGAAGACUAAUUCCUUUCUGGAUCAUUAAAGUUAACUUCAACUCUCUCAAUAAAGUUUUUCUAUACAUAGGACGAGGAUCGAAACCUUAACAAGGUAUUUAAGAAAUUAAGUUAUUUAUAAAUUGUGUUGGACUUUAUUGAUAAUUUAAUCCUUAAUUUUGGAAUGACAUUGGAUUUUUAAUUUUAAAUCUUGAUAUUUGAAGUUUUUAUUUGAAGAAAUUUUUUAUUGCACAUUCUUUUUAUAUGCUAGCCUUUUCUCUUGGAUGUUAACCAGCUUUAUAUUUUCAUUCAAUAAAUUUAAUAUUAUAAUAAUGCAGACAUAAAUAAAAGUUAUAUAAUAUAAAUGAAAUAUGUAACAUUUAUUAUCAGUGAUAAUGAUAUAUUCAAUUUUAGAGAUAUAAUAAAUAUAUAAUGUAAUAUGGCAAUAUAAUUUUUUUAGUGAGAGUAAAGUAGGAUAACCCAAAAUUAUUUCAUCUAACUAGUAAUUCCUUUUUAUAAUCAAUUGAUUCAAUAAAAAAAUUAAUUCCGCCUGAAUUUUUUAAUUCAAUAGAUUUAAUAUUAUAAAUAAAAUAAUAGAAAAUAUACAUUAUUUUAGGAGUGGAAUUUUAUAUAAGGUGCCAAAUCUGUCCAUUCUCCUCUUCAACUUAUACACAGUCUUCCCUUGUCUUUUAGUGUUAACAAAAAUUUAAGAACAUUGAAGACGAGGUAAACUUUCAUUUGAUCAAAUAAAUUUCCCUUUCAACUUUUAUAAGAAGACAAGAAAGAAACAAGUUGAUACAAAAGCAACCUUUAUUGGUGCUCCUAUUAAUAUCAUGAAAAAAUAAUUCAUGCAUAUAGACAGUGUAAUAUAUUUUGACAUUACCCAUCAUUUAUAUAUUAGGCAUCAUUAACUUUUACUUAAAGUAACAUUCAUGAAUAAUAAUUGAUAUAUUGAUACUGCAAAAAAAAAACUUUAUCCUAAGAUUAUAUAUAUAUUUAACAACCAUUUAAUUCAAAUAACUUGUAUAUGAAUGGCAUGAUAUCCAUUACUUGUAAGUUAUUUUGUGAACAAGAUAUUUAUAAAAAAAUUAUUUGUUUACUAGUAAUUAAGUUAAGAUGAGUUAAGCUCGGAAGGAGCUCAACAUAAUAAAAUUUUGAUUGACUUUUUUUUAUAAUUGAAAUUUUAUUAAAAAGGGAACAAAAUUACAAUCAUGAAUAUAAGAAACCAGAUACAUGGAAUAGAAUAAAAACCCCAACAAACGUCAUAAGAGAACAAAUAAUACACACCCAACAUAAAAGAGGUCUAACAAUAACAAUUCAAACACAAAAUUGGAUUAGAGACUCAUUCAAACCAAGAUAUGAAUGCCCCUUUGUAUCCACAUUUGAUCCACAAAAUUGGAUUACAUCAUUUCGAUCUUUCCAAAUCAACCAAACUCCAACCAUCUAGAGCAUAGAACAAAUGUCUUUCAAAUCACUACCCUUAACUGGUAAGAAAUGUUGUAAAUAAUGAGAUUUAUCGAUUGAAGGCAACACCACCUGACACCCCAACGAGCUAUAGAGAAGUUUCCAAAACUGGUAAGCAAAAUGGCAAGAGAAAAAAAGAUGAUAUGUUAUUUCUAGAUGCGCUUGACACCAAACACAUAAAAGAUCAUUACUUGAAAAGUUUUCAUCCUUAUUGGCUAGAUUCCACUUACAUGGAAUUCUAUUCAAAAGAAGUCUUCAAGCUAGAGCAUGAAUCUUCUGGAGUGCCACAGAUUUCCAAACUGAAUUCCACAUCUUUUUGUCCUAUGAACUAGACUCCUCCGCUUGCCAAAUAAUUUUAUAAGCUGACUUGAUCGAAUAACAAUUAGACACAUCAUAUCUCCAUAUCCAUCUGUCUUUUACCCCCUCCUCUAACUUGGUCAAACUCAAAAGCUCCAGAAACUCCUCUAACAAAGGUUUUCCCACUCGAAAGGUUCCAUUCUCCAAGGAGUAUUUCAAACCCACAACCGCUCCCGCCACAUGCCUGACUGCCCAACCAUAAUUCCAUUUUCCGAAACCAAAUUAUAAAGCCUCUCAAACGAGUCCUUCAAGGGACCUUUCCUCGCCCAAAAAUCCGACCAAAAUCGAGUGUGACUCUCAUUCCCCACCACCUUCUUAAAACCACCCUUCAGCUUCCCAAUAAUAUGAUCCGACCCUCCUACGACCUUUUUGAGAUCUCCCCACCAAAAUGACCUUGAGGACCGUCCAACACCAAACCCAUCUCACUCAAAGACGGUCUGAACCCCAUACUUCAAUUCCAAAACUUUUAUCCAAAGAGCCUCUCUCACAACACAUCAACUCAAUAAGAAAAUGACUUUAUCUUGAUGGUUCAAAUUUAGUUCCCUAUAAACUCACAAUGAUGUUCCAGUUCGAAGGCAAAAGAAUAAGUAUAAUUAAGUUAAACAAAAAGGGUGAUAAGUGUAAUUAAGUUAAACAAAAUAUGAUAUAUUAUGGAAACAAGUACAAAUAGUAUACGAGUCGAUACAUUUUCAUUAUUUUUUGUUCGUUACAAUAUAGUAUAAGAGUGAUUUGAACAAUAUAUCCUUAGAAUUAUUGAAGCAUUUUAUAAUCAACCAAAAAUAAUGAAAAUGUAUUGACUCAUAUAAUAUUUGGAGUUGUCUCUACAAUAUAUCAUAUUUUGUUGAGCUUAAUUACACUUAUUAUCUUUUUUGUCUAAAAGAUCACACUUAUUUAUCAUGCAGGAGUAGUCAGUAUAAUGUAUAUAUAAAAAUUAAGGGUUUUUGUAGGUGUAAAAGAUGAAGUGAUUUAUAUAAUUUCACUAAACUCAAGGGGUGUGAGUGUAAUUUACUCUAAAAAAUACAUCAAUUAUCUUUUUUUAAAUCAACAACUAUUUCUGUCUAUGAAUUUCGCUAUUUAUAAAAUUUAUCCAUUAUGAAUAUGUUUAAUAAUUACGAGUUUCUAACUAAAACAAUGACACAAAAUACAUAAUGACAUAUUUUUAAACCUUCAACAAUUCAACUUCAUUCUCUAUGUUUAUUUGAACAAAAAAAUAAAUCAUUUUCAAGAACUAAUGGUGGUUAUUUUAGGACUAUAUAUAGAUAUUCAAUUAUCAAUACAUUUGUCAUUCUAAAGCAUCAUAAUAAAAACACUUGGGAUGAUAUCCAUCAAAAUGUCAUGACUAAAAAUCAUAAAUAACAUGUAUCACUUAAAACAACUUCAUAAUAAUUAUGAGACAAAAGGAUUUAUAGAAAUGUAAUUCCUAGUUAGUUUUAGUUAUAGAGAUAGAAAGAAUUUGAAGUAUCUCAAAAGCAAAACGUUUUUUCCUAUGAAAGUAUCGUAGGUUAAUGUUAUCCUUACAACGAGAUAGUUUCAACAUAAAAAUACGAUACAUGAUGUAACCCUUCAGCAACAUCCAAAAUAUCAACUCGUCAAGACCAAUAUCACAUUCCCCAACUAUUAAGAACCUCAACAUAUCAAGAUCAAUAUCACAUUCCCCAACUAAUGGAAACCUUAUCCUCUACCAUCUCUUGGGCAUAAGUGUUGUAUGUUAUCUGUGUGAUAAUAACAUAUAAAAGUAUACAAUACACUGAAACAAAUAGAGAGUAAUUUAUACACAAUAUGUGGAAUUAUAUGGAAUAUAAAUAUCAUAACACAUCAUAACCAAUCAUAGCACAAAAUAAAUAAACCACAUAACAUUUCUGCAACAUGAACUACAUUAUGUAUCCCAACUAGUUCAAUACAAAUACAACGCAUGUGGAUACAUAUUCAUCCUUUUAAUUUUCAACUCAAUCCCCAUUAUUUUUUAACUCAACUCAUCAAGUUCACCUAUCAAACUAGAUGAUUCUCAUACCAAGAGCUCUCUUAUCGAUCUAGAUAACUCAUAGAGGUGUCAGAAUCACUUGGUUAAACAUGAUUAUCAUGCCUAAACCGUCACUAUACUAUCCUACCCAUGCAACCCUCAAGGUUUUCACGAUGAAUCACCAUCAUUAAUCACCCAUAUUCAUUUCCCAAGAUAUUUCUAUCCUGAAUAUUUACGUUCCACCGCAAUCUUCAUCUUAACUUAGGUUGUUCUAGCACACAAGAUUCUAUAUUGAUCUUAUCAUAGGGGAUAAGCUUGGACAUUGUAGUUGUCAUCAAGCAAUACAGAACAAUAACAAUUAUCACUGAACUUGACACUCCUAUUGGAAUAUCUUGUACGAGAUUCCUAACUUCUUUCGCUAAAGUCGAAACGGCAUCGUAUCCAAUAUAGCUUAAAUAAACCAUUGCGACAUCGUUGAGUUUCUAAGAUAGUUUAGAUCAUUUAGGUCACAAGAUCAAGGUAUAAGUAUUAUAGAAGUUAAUUUGUGUUCAUUUAUGUGUGGCUCUACUAUUUCAUAAGUUGUGUUUUAUCCCUAUGUUACUUGAACCUUUUGAACCUAAGUAGCUAAAACCCUUGUUGGAUUGAAUGUAACACUUUUAAUUCAUUAAAUUCUGAUUAUCUUUGAGUUUUUGUAUUUGCUUAAUGAUUGCUUUAAGUUUGAUCAUCUUAUUGCAUGAUUAUUGAAAAAAUUGCUUAGAUGUCUUUUACUUGCAUUACUAUGAACUUGUAUAACUCAACAAUCGAUACAUUUUCUAGACUUAGACUUAUAUUAUUUAUCUUAUCAUGCAUUUUACUUUAUUAGUAUCUAGACAUAGUGUCAAUCUUGUAAUUUUAUAAUCGUCAAAUUAGAUGAUAUAGACUACUAGACAUAGAGGGAUAUUUAACAAUUCAAAUAACACUAGACUACUAGUGACGAUUCUAGGAUCUAGAGGCAGGUGUGCAACAUAGGUUAAAAUUAAAAUAAUAAAUAUGAUCAAUUAAAAAAAUGAAAAUAUUAUGUCAAAAUUACAAAAUUUAAAUAUAUAAUAACUUUAUUUUAUUUAUCUAGACUACUAGAUAUAGAGGUAGAUUAAAAAAAUAUUAGUAUAGAUCAAGACAUUAGCGGCUAAUACAAUUGAGAUGUCGAGUUUAACUCAAUUUUGCAUGCAUGGACUACUAGACAAAGAAAUAUAUUAUGCAUUGUCAUAUAUAAUAACUUUAUGAAUAAAGUUGUUAGACAUAGAGUUUUGUUGUAUAAGUUGUUAAGUUGAAAAUGAAGCAAAAAUAGCAAUAACAAUCAAGAUUUAAAUUUUUAAUCAAUGUAACAUGUUUUUAUUAACGUGGAUAGCAUAUGAGAUAUGAUUUGGAAUAACCAAUGUCUAGUAAUAAAAUAUGGUACACUGGUACUCUGUUAAAAAAAUCACAACUCUUUUACUUGAGAUCUCAACUAGCUCCUUAAUGAAAUCAUGAAAAUAGCUGUUAACCCAGAAUUAAAGGUCAACUUUCAAUUAGUAAAACACUCAAUAUGUAUCCUAUAAACCUAAGGCCAUUUUUAAUGUUAAAAAAACAUCAAUCAACCAUGCUAAACUAAUAAAUAAAUGAAUGAACAAUGUGGCACUAGAAUAUAUAGAUCUUAAAUCCUGAGACAAAUCAAAAGUUUUAAGAUUUGCAUUUUUCCUUGCUUGAUAGCACAAAUUGCAUGAGAUGCCUAGGUUUCAGUUUCAGGCGAAGUUGAUGGUUGCAUUACUAGUCACAUUCCUUUUUGUGGCACUGGAAGACCCUACACUAGUUUGUUCUUAUGGUAAUAAUUAAUUUGUUGAUAUAAUUCAGGUUUGAAAUCACUUUUAUUGUAUAAUACAUUCAUGGUGAUAUUUUUUUUCCUUCUUGGUCAGGACCUGGAAAAACAUUAGCAAUAGAAUUUGACAUGAGGUUUAAAUGGUCCAGAAAGAUCAAUGCUGGAAGAGAAGGUGACAAUGAUCAUGCAAGUUUGGAUAGUGAUAAUAAGGGAGAUGUGUUAGAAGGAUUCGGAUUCACAACCAUAAGGUUAAGUUCAAGAAGACGUCCACUACCACCACCACCCGCUCCCAUGGGAAAUCGACACAAAGUAACUGCGAUAGCAUUCAUUGCGGCUGCUCGGCCUUAGAGUAUUCGCCGUCCUCACUAAUUUGUCUUUUGUUAGUACUUAUUUUCACUUAUGGUCUCUCUGUGUACAGAUUUAUAAUUAUUCAUCAUGGUUUAAUUAUGAUGUACAUUUUCUCCAAUAACAUUAUGUCUUGCUAUGUCUACAAAACAUACGUUUGAGCUAUGCAUACAAAAUCUGGAAUGUAAUACAUAGUUAUGAUACAUGCAAUGCAAAUGUGAUUUUAUCAAAAUAAUAAAUAUGUUUUGGUGUAGCAGAUUGAAAAUUACGUGUAUUACCUAUGUUAUGUAUGAAUUAGUAUCCUCUCCGUUAACGGAGAGGCAAGUGCUUCAAAAAAGUAAAAAGAAAUGCAACUUUAAAUUAUACAUAUAUCUUUUUUAUUACAAUAAAAUUAUAUAUUUGCCAUUAAAAAAUAUGUAUUUGUCUCUCCAUCAAUGAAGAUGAUCUUUAUUCGUCGGAGGAUUUGCACGAAAUGCAUUAGAAAAACAAAUGUGACAUUUUGAACAUUACCGUAGACUAGAGUACACAACAACUAAUAAUUAGAAGAGUGUUGUGUUAAAACAGAACAAGGACAUACAAAUAUUGCAAAUUUCAUUCCAUUGUACUUCGUAACUUUAUAUGCCAUGAUAUAUUUUGGGAAGACGAUGAAGCCCUCACCAGAACUCACAUUCACUGAUUUAUGUACUUAUUUAUAAUUUGUUUCCAUCUACUUCGAACUUCAAACUAUGUAGAUAAGUUUACACGAUUACAUGUCUCAAAAAAUUCAUAUCUUCAUGUCCCAAAUUAAUCACAUUACAACCAGUAAUAAAAAAAAUUAUUUUCUACUUUUAUAAUUUUUUUCCUUAAUUAAUUAGUUUGAGACAGGUGAUCUUCGUACAUUUGGUUUCUUUCUUCAGCUAACUUGUUUGUUACAUCAACUCAAAACCAUGAUUAAUUUGCCAGUUUUUUUUGACAGCUAAGUGCAUACAACUACAAGCAAUAAACUAUUAUAAAUUUAUCUUUGGAGUUAUUAUUCAACGAUUUUAGCUAACCACCAUUUUGAGGUAUCCUACUUAAAAAUUCAGUAAUCUCUACAAUUUCAAGGCUUGAGCUUUUUCAAUAUCUCCACUUGAUCUUGUACAUUGACUUAAGGAUAACCAUUGCUUAAUUUUUUAAUGCUGAGACUUGUUGAUUCCCCAAACCGCACGAUUCUUAUUAUUAAGACAUUAUAUACAUAUAUACAUAUUCAUUCACCUAGUAUACACACUAUAUAAUACAGUAUACAGUUUAAGCUGGGAUGAAAGUGAAUUUGAAUCUUGUUGGAGAGUUCAUUACCACGUUCGGAUUAUAAUAUUUGAUAAAAAUAAAAAUCUAAUAGUUUUCAUUUUAAAUUAUUUUUUAAUAAAAUAAUUUUUAAAUCACUUUCCAAAUGAGUAUAGCAAGUAUAAAUGUCAAUCAUUAAUUCAUGAUAAAGCUUACUAAUUUGCAAACUGGUACUUAGUUCACAUGGAUGUUAACUAAUCCCUAAUCGUUAGAUCAAAAAAUAUGGUCACUGACUACCGAUUGUACAUUUUUUAAAAGUCGUUUAGCCAAAAUAUGACUAUGAAGAAGUUGGGACACCUUAUCCCUAGAAGUCGGGAAAGCAAAUCACGACUUCAAAAGUUGGUUUUGCAUUUUACGACUUCUGUAAAGUACACAUUAAUGUAGCAUAAUUAAAGGGUAAGAAAAGGGUAACACGAACAAUAACUGAACUAGAAAUGUUUUUCUCACGAAUGUACUUCUUUUCUCUCCUCUUUUUCAUGGUCCAUUAUGUGCAAUAAUUCCGAGUCCUCUAAUAAGAAAUAAACUGAAUUGCGUUAUUGAUGAAGAAGAGAUAAAUACAAGUGUUACCUACGAGAAGAGAAAUGAGAAUUGGGACCUACAACUGAUGAGUGUAAAGUAAGUGUGAAUUUUCUGAACAUGUGUCUCUUCUCUCUUUUCUUUUAAUAUUCAGUUAAAAAACAGAGAGAAAAAAUGUACACACUACAUUAACUACAAUUCAUAUACGAUCUAUUAGCUCUUUAAAAUAUAAUACAAAUAAAUGAUAAAUAAUAUACUAACCAUAUAUAAAUAUUUACAGACAAUACAUAGAUAUUACAUUACAAAACAAAUAUUAUAUGGUUAAUUUCAUCUCUAGUGUCAAUAUUAUUGCUUAACUUUAUCUUGAAGUUUUUAUAUUAUUCCAGUUUGGUUUUUAACACAAAAUUAAAAGACAAAUUGAUUGAUGAAACUUCUCAAAUUUUGAAGAUCUCAUUUAGUUUUUAUAUAUUAAGCAAGCAAGUAAACAUGAUUUUUCCAAGACACCAGAAACCACCGCUUAUAGCAAAAAGGAAAACAAAUAAUAACAAAAACAACAAUAACAAAAUUAACAGUUGGGAAGUCUUGAUUCCUAUAUCAUAUUCCUCACAGAAGUCGUACUCCUAAAUAACAACUUUUGCACAACAUCGUUAGUCAGUCAAGAUUAAGAUUAAGGACCACUCAAUCUCGCAGCUAAGAAAACAGUUCGCAUUAAUGCGAACUAACUUGCAAUUAGCAAGUUAGACACCACCAAUAACUAAUUCCCUUAUCCAACACCACCCUAAACUCUUCGUUUUAUCUUCGUUUUAUCUGUAUGCAAUUGAAUCGAACUGCGAAACGUAGUUCAAUUUCCCAGUUGAGUUCAGUCAUUUUCUUGAUGAAUCAUUUAUGUUGGGUUCAAACUUUCAGAAACUUAGGAACCAUUAGAAAUGAACCACAAAUUAAAGAAAUAAAUAUUAUGAAAUAAUAUUUUAUGGUUGUUAAUUCUUCAUCCAAUUUUGUGACUAAAAUUAUCAAUUCCAUGUAAAUUGUAAUGUAAUACAUGUUACUAAAUUUUUAUGUUCAUAUUAGAUUAUAUCUUCUAACUUUAGUGGUAUUAAGUUUCAAACUAAUAUAUUAUGUAUUAUUAUAUGUGCGAUAAUUAGCUUUCUUCUCUUAUCAAAUACAUUUGAACAUUGAAUUGAUGCAAAAGAAAAAAUACAAGAAAAUAAUUGUAAAAACAAAUCAUUCAAGAACAGAAAUUCAGUUAAAUUUAUAAUUAUUGUUCGAUUAAACAACUAAAAUGCACCAAAAAUCAGACUGAACUUUUACAAUGCUAAAAGAACCAAUCCAAACAAAGUCAGACUACAAUUCCAGGAAUGUUCAAAGUUGCAUUGCUAUAGAUAAGCACGAUUGAAUUAUUCCACUUGUUAAAAGAAUUAUUUUGCUAUUAAAAACAAAUAAAAUUGUAAAUGAAUACGUAUUACAUGACAGUUUCAAAUACCACAACUAUUUCAAAAAUUAGAUUUUCAUGUCAUCACAAUCACUAUUAACCUUCACACUACAUAUUUUUAAUUUUAAAGCACAACCCUAAACGAUUCGGCAACGAAAAAGGCCAACUUUUAUUGCCAACAUAUUCAAAGAUUGCAGAGACACUGAUAACAUUUCACUUCAUUUUCAACAAAUAAAUGAAAGCUACUUUUGUUACAAAAAUUACGAAACCGAUAUCAAAGAAAAAUUAUGCGUAAAAUGUUGUAAUUCAAAGAAAAAUUGAAGCCUCGGUCAGCCAGAAAUUCACAUCAAAAUUCUUCAGACGGUAAUUCCAAUUUAAAUAAUUCUUCACAGGCUUCGGAAAAAAUAAAAUGAGAUUAUAAUAAUGACAAAAUGUAAUCGCAUAAAACGGCUCCGUGGAUCGAAUGAAUAACAGAAUCCACAGAUUCCUAUCAAAAUGCGAAACAAGAAACUCUUGAUUUUGGUUCAAUCAUAGCAUCGUUGGUCAUAGCAAACAUAGCUACCAUCGACGUGGCAUCGAACCUAAUUAAAUAACCUAAACAAUAAUUAAUUAAAUAAAUAAAUAAAUAACAACCCUCAGAUUCCCUUCUCAAAUCACACACACAGCGAAGAACCAUUGGAACCAAACGAAUCUCAGAACUGAAUGGCGAAUCACAAAACGAACAAAUCGAGAUGGAUUUGACAUUAGUUGAUGAGAACGAUUUUUGGACCGUGAUUGCAAGCGCUGGUGUAAAGUGUCAUACGGCACUUCCUAUCAAUUUGGGUUAUCUUCCUCAUUGGGAUGAUGAGAUUAAUGUAAGAAUAGUGAAAUAAGAAAAUAAUGGAAAAUGAGAACGAGAAGAAGCUACGCCUAUUGAGUAGAAUAUGAAAAAUUAGGGUUUGAGAGUGUGAUAUUUAUAGGCAUG